rnacentral:lncRNA from 1 species
GGUAGUGGGAGCUGCCAGUUUCACAUGUUUUAACUCUGUCAGAGCACUUUGAAAAAGUGGUCUGUGGUAUCUGGCUCUCGAGAUUCGGAGAACGAUGCCUCUUCGAUUUUUGAGAAAGCAAUCAUGCUGGGGGUCUGACUCUCGAGAUUCGAAGAGCAGUGUCUCUUCGAUUUUUGAGGAAGUAAUCAUGUUGGGAGUCUGGCUCUCGAGAUUCGGAGGGCGGUGCCUCUUCGAUUUUGGAGCAAGCAAUCUUGUUGGGAGUGUUGUCUCGAAUGUGAGUAAAGGUUGGGCAUGUUUGCUAGUCUACCUUGCCACGAAGCACAAAGGUUGACACACAGGGAACUUUCCAAUUAUCCAGCAAUGGUACUGUUCCUUUACCCUCUCUUCGAUUUUGAGAAAGUAGUCAUGUUGGGAGUCUGGCUCUCGAGAUUCGGAGGACGGUGCCUCUUCGAUUUUGGAGCAAGCAAUCUUGUUGGGAGUGUUUUUCUCGAAUGUGAGUAAAGGUUGGGCAUGUUUGCUAGUCUACCUUGCCACGAAGCACAGAGGUUGACACACAGGGACUUUUCAAUUAUCCAGCAGUGGUACUGUUCCUUUACCCUUGUGGGUAAUAAUAUGGUAGCUAGACCUUCAAAAUUUAUGUGUCUAAACUAAACUUUGUUAGUGCUGUUUCUUUGCUAUUCUUUUACCUUUCUUGGUCAGAGCAAUGUAGUGGGAGCUGCAAGCUUCACGUGCUCAACUUUGGCAGAGAACUUUGGCAAAGUUAUCUGUGGUACCCAUGAGCUAUUGUUGCGUGUGGGAAGUGGGUGAUUGAACAGUAAGAUUUCAUGUGCUUUCUAUUUCACCAGAAGUCUUCGACAGAAUGCCCAUAAUUUCUGCAAAGCUGAGUGUGCGUGUGACAGGUGCUGACAAGGCUAGAAAAGUAGGUGCCUCUUUCGAUUUCUGAGAUCGGCCCUCGUGGUCUCUGAGCAGCCCAGCUUUUGAGAAAGCGAGCGCCUCUUCGAUUGAUUCGGAGAACGAUGCCUCAUCGAUUUUUGAGAAAGUAAUCAUGCUGGGGGUCUGGCUCUCGAGAUUCGAGGAGCAGUGUCUCUUCGAUUUUUGAGAAAGUAAUCAUGUUGGGAGUCUGGCUCUCGAGAUUCGGAGGGCGGUGCCUCUUCGAUUUUGGAGCAAGCAAUCUUGUUGGGAGUGUUAAAAAUUGCUAUUCUUUUACCCUUCUUGGUCAGAGCGAUGUAGUGGGAGCUGCAAGCUUCACGUGCUCAACUUUGGCAGAGAACUUUGGCAAAGUUAUCUGUGGUACCCAUGAGCUAUUGUUGCGUGUGGGAAGUGGGUGAUUGAACAGUAAGAUUCAUGUGUUUUCUACUUCCCCAGAAGUCUUUUGACAGAAUGCCUAUAAUUUCCGCAAAGCUGAGUGUGCGUGUGACAGGUGCUGACAAGGCUGAAAAAGUAGGUGCCUCUUCGAUUUCUGAGAUCGGCCCUCGUGGUCUCUGGGUAGCCCAGCUUUUGAGAAAGCGAGCGCCUCUUCGAUUUCUGAGAUCGGCCUUCGUGGUCUUUGAGCAGCCCAACUUUUGAGAAAGCAAACGCCUCUUCGAUUUCUGAGAUCAACCCUCGUGAUCUCUAAGCAGCCCAGCUUUUGAGAAAGCAAACGCCUCUUCGAUUUCUGAAGCUCCGUCGAGUGCAGAUUUUUAUAGGGGCUGCAUUAAGUUCCAAAGCACACUUGAAUCUCCACCAGUAGAAGCUUCAUUCUUGCACUUCUAAGAUCUUGAUUUGUCCGACCUCUUCUCUCUUCAACACCUUUUAAAAAUGUCUGGCCCCUCCGACCGUCGUUUUGACUUGAAACCUUGUUGAAGAGGCAGCCCCGCCUUCUCCAGACAACAUAUGGCGCCCAUCCUUCGUCUCCCCUACUGGUCCUCUUACCGUUGGGGAUUCCGUGAUGAAGAAUGAUAUGACCGCUGCGGUGGUGGCCAGGAACCUUCUCACUCCCAAAGAUAACAGACUACUUUCCAAACGGUCUGAUGAGUUAGCUGUUAAGGAUUCGCUGGCUCUCAGUGUUCAGUGUGCAGGUUCUAUGUCUAAUAUGGCCCAACGCCUAUUUGCUCGAACCCCGCCAAGUUGAAUCAUUGGCGGCUGAAGUGAUGAGUCUCAAACAGGAGAUUAGGGGGCUCAAGCAAUGAGAAUAAACAGUUGCACCGGCUCGCACAUGACUAUGCUACAAACAUGAAGAGGAAGCUUGACCAGAUGAAGGAAAACUGAUGGUCAGGUUUUACUUGAUCAUCAGAGAUUUUGUGGUUUGUUCCAAAGGCAUUUAUUGCCUUCGUCUUCUGGGGCUGUACCGCGUAAUGAAGCUCCAAAUGAUCAACCUCUGAUGCCUCCUCCUUCUAGGGUUCUGUCCAGUACUGAGGCUCCAAAUAAUCCACCUCCGGUGCCUUCUCUUUCUGGGGCUCUACCGACUGCUGAGACUUCUCCUAAGCAACCUUUGUGAAGGCUCCCUCUUGUGUGUUUAUUUUGACUCAUGUAUAUGUACAUAUUUGUAGCUUAUCGGGGAUAUCAAUAAAUAAUAAGCUUUCCUUCAUUUCAACGUAUUGUGUUAAAUACACCAAAGCCUUCUUCGCUAAGUUCUUUGAAUUUUCUUUUGUUGAAGCUUGUAAGUUGAAGCUUUCUGAGUGGAGCAUGUAGGUUGGGGUAGUGUUCCCUUAAAUUUCCCGAGUGAGGAAAACUUCUCGGUUGGAGACUUGGAAAAUCCAAGUCACUGAGUGGGAUCGGCUAUAUGAAUCUUAGAACGCCAUUGUGCUCGAUCCUGUGUCAUGUCCUUUGUUAGAUCCAAGUACUCUAAGUCUUUUCUUAGAGUCUCUUCCAAAGUUUUCCUAGGUCUUCCUCUACCCCUUCGGCCCUGAACCUCUGUCCCAUAGUCGCAUCUUCUAAUCGGAGCGUCAGUAGGCCUUCUUUGCACAUGUCCAAACCACCGUAACCGAUUUUCUCUCAUCUUUCCUUCAAUUUCGGCUACUCCUACUUUACCCCGGAUAUCCUCAUUCCUAAUCUUAUCCUUUCUCGUGUGCCCACACAUCCAACGAAGCAUCCUCAUCUCCGCUACACCCAUUUUGUGUACGUGUUGAUGUUUCACCGCCCAACAUUCUGUGCCAUACAGCAUCGCCGGCCUUAUUGCCGUCCUAUAAAAUUUUCCCUUGAGCUUCAGUGGCAUACGGCGGUCACACAACACGCCGGAUGCACUCUUCCACUUCAUCCAUCCAGCUUGUAUUCUAUGGUUGAGAUCUCCAUCUAAUUCUCCGUUCUUUUGCAAGAUAGAUCCUAGGUAACGAAAACGGUCGCUCUUUGGUAUUUCUUGAUCUCCGAUCCUCACCCCUAACUCGUUUUGGCCUCCAUUUGCAUUGAACUUGCACUCCAUAUAUUCUGUCUUUGAUCGGCUUAGGCGAAGACCUUUAGAUUCCAACACUUCUCUCCAAAGGUUAAGCUUUGCAUUUACCCCUUCCUGAGUUUCAUCUAUCAACACUAUAUCGUCUGCGAAAAGCAUACACCAAGGAAUAUCAUCUUGAAUAUGUCCUGUUAACUCAUCCAUUACCAACGCAAAAAGGUAAGGACUUAAGGAUGAGCCUUGAUGUAAUCCUACAGUUAUGGGAAAGCUUUCGGUUUGUCCUUCAUGAGUUCUUACGGCAGUCUUUGCUCCUUCAUACAUAUCCUUUAUAGCUUGGAUAUAUGCUACUCGUACUCCUUUCUUCUCUAAAAUCCUCCAAAGAAUGUCUCUUGGGACCCUAUCAUACGCUUUUUCCAAAUCUAUAAAGACCAUGUGUAAAUCCUUUUUUCCCAUCUCUAUAUCUUUCCAUCAAUCUUCGUAAGAGAUAGAUUGCCUCCAUGGUUUGAGCGCCCUGGCAUGAACCCGAAUUGGUUGUCCGAAACCCGUGUCUCUUGCCUCAAUCUAUGCUCAAUGACUCUCUCCCAGAGCUUCAUUGUAUGACUCAUUAGCUUAAUACCCCUAUAGUUCAUGCAAUUUUGUACGUCGCCCUUAUUCUUGUAGAUAGGCACCAAAGUGCUCGUUCGCCACUCAUUUGGCAUCUUCUUCGUUUUCAAAAUCCUAUUGAAAAGGUCAGUGAGCCAUGUUAUACCUGUCUCUCCCAAAAGUUUCCACACUUCGAUUGGUAUAUCGUCUGGGCCUAUUGCUUUUUUAUGCUUCAUCUUCUUCAAAGCUACAACCACUUCUUCCUUCCGGAUUCGACGAUAAAAAGAGUAGUUUCUACACUCUUCUGAGUUACUCAACUCCCCUAAAGAAGCACUCAUUUCAUGUCCUUCAUUGAAAAGAUUAUGAAAAUAACCUCUCCAUCUGUCUUUAACCGCGUUCUCUGUAGCAAGAACCUUUCCAUCCUCAUCCUUGAUGCACCUCACUUGGUUUAGGUCCCUUGUCUUCUUUUCCCUUGCUCUAGAUAGUUUAUAGAUUUCCAACUCUCCUUCUUUGGUAUCUAGUCGUUUAUACAUAUCGUCGUAAGCCGCUAACUUAGCUUCUCUGACAGCUUUCUUCGCCUCUUGCUUCGCUUUUCUAUACCUUUCACCAUUUUCAUCGGUCCUCUCCUUGUAUAAGGCUUUACAACAUUCCUUCUUAGCCUUCACCUUUGUUUGUACCUCCUCAUUCCACCACCAAGAUUCCUUUUUGGUGUGGGGCAAAGCCCUUGGACUCUCCUAAUACCUCUUUUGCUACUUUUCGGAUACAACUAGCCAUGGAAUCCCACAUUUGGCUAGCUUCCCCCUCUCUAUCCCACACACAUUGGGUGAUUACCUUCUCUUUGAAAAUUGCUUGUUUUUCUUCUUUUAGAUUCCACCAUCUAGUCCUUGGGCACUUCCAAGUCUUGUUCUUUUGUCUUACUCUUUUGAUAUGUACAUCCAUCACCAACAAGCGAUGUUGAUUAGCCACGCUCUCUCCUGGUAUAACUUUGCAAUCCUUACAAGUUAUACGAUCCCCUUUCCUCAUUAGAAGAAAAUCUAUUUGUGUUUUUGACGACCCACUCUUGUAGGUGAUCACAUGUUCUUCUCUCUUCUUAAAGAAGGUGUUGGCUAAGAAGAGAUCAUAUGCCAUUGCAAAAUCCAAGAUAGCUUCCCCAUCCUCGUUUCUCUCCCCAAAACCAUGACCACCAUGAAAACCUCCAUAGUUGCCUGUCUCCCUGCCCACGUGUCCAUUUAAAUCUCCUCCUAUAAAUAACUUCUCCGUCUGAGCAAUUCCUUGCACCAAGUCUCCAAGAUCUUCCCAAAAUUUCUCCUUCGAACUCGUAUCCAACCCUACUUGAGGUGCGUACGCACUAAUCACAUUGAUAAGUUCUUGUCCUAUUACAAUCUUGAUUGCCAUGAUUCUAUCUCCUACCCUCUUGACAUCUACAACAUCUUGUACCAAGGUCUUGUCCACGAUGAUGCCAACACCGUUUCUCGUUCUAUUUGUGCCCGAAUACCAAAGUUUAAACCCUGAGUUUUCUAGAUCCUUUGCCUUACUACCAACCCACUUAGUUUCUUGUAGGCACAUAAUAUUUAUCCGUCUCCUCACCAUAACUUCCACUACUUCCAUAGAUUUUCCCGUUAAGGUUCCUAUAUUCCACGUUCCUAAACGCAUUUUGCUCUCUUGAACUCUACCCUUUUGUCCUAGCUUCUUCACCCUCCCCCGUCUAAUAAGAUCAAAGUACUUCUUUUGUGUGUCCCGGGUAAAGUUGAUAGGAGCAUAUGCUCCCAAACAACUUUGAGUGGAGUCGUUCGAAAAGAAGUUUCUAUGGCCCCCUUGCUCAUUUAACACUGCAUCCGGGUGCCGAUGGAGAUACAGCGACCCUUGCUCACUUAUCACUGUGCUCGGGCCACACAGCGCGCCACUUACGGGUGACGCCCUAGCUUUAGCGCGAUUUUGUUCUGGAUUCAUUUUCAUAAGGAUUCGACGUGAUCAUGGAGUGCCGGCUGUCGACUACCUGACGCCCUCCCCCUCCUCCUUUAUCCGGGCUUGGGACCGGCCAUGUAAGACAUAGGCGGAGUUUGAAAGCACUUCGAUAAAAUAAAAAAAUAAAAAAAGUGGAGCAAAUUUCACCAAGAUGUUUUGAGAUAAAACCUCAUGUCUGAAUGGGGCAAUGGACCAUAGGUCCGUGACACAACCCUAACUUAGACCUAAGCAGGGAAGCAAGGGAAUUAUUGAUGAAACCUGGGAACAACUGAAAGAAGUGGUUUGCAAACAAGUGGAACCAGAGCCCACAGUUUAGGUUGGGACACUAGGCUCAUUAUUAUCAUCAAGGUGGAGCAGACAUAUGCUCAGAUGGCUAACCAAUUACCCAAUAGGUGGAGCAGACUCAAGAAAAUCCUAACGGGGUUCAAAGUGGACUUGCAAGGGACCAAUAAAUCCUUAAGAUGGAGUUGCCUGUGAGAUUUUUCAGCAAAUUGGGAUGAUGAUACCUAGAGAUGGACGGUUAUGAUAAUUCAAGGUGGGACUUGAACGAGGAAUUGUGAUUUGAUCCAAGGUGGAGAAUGUUAGGAAUUGUGUAUCAAAUAAAAUUGUCCCAUAUUAGAGAAGUGAAUGUCCAUACUGGGGUAUAUUAAGAAUGAGUCUUCCUAAGUAACACUGAUGACUUUUGAGGAUAAAAUUUCACACAUAUGGGUCCAUAAAGCCUGACCCAACCACAUAAGGGACCUAGUUGGUAAGGUUAGGAACAAUAACAAUGCAAACCGGGGGAGCAGCAACCAAUAGAUACUGCAACCCAUCUUUCCUUUUUUAUUGAGAAAGUAAUUAAAAUUGAUCGAAAAUAAGUGCUUCUAGUCACGAUAACAAUGUUAAGAGUAACAGAAAAUAUACCAGUUGUGCUGCCCAUACCUCACACUAAAAUAGAUCAAAAUAAACCCACAGCUCAUUAUAAGUAGAUUAGAACAACCCUCAUGACAACAAUAAGUGUUAUAAAGAAACACUUAAUAAAGCUCAAUUGGAGGGAGGGAAAAACCCCUUGGCUAUCCACUUACCAUGUUCUAAUUGAUUAUUACUUGUGAAUUCCCUUGGUUCCUCUAAAGUGUAAUGUUAUCAAGGACUUACAUGUGAGCAACCCUUUAUUUGCAUGUCAUUUCUUUAAUCGAAUUAAUAACAAGAACUUUAAAAUGAUGCAAGAAAUCCAUCAAGAAAAAGAAUCUAUGUAUUCCAUUCCAUAUAUUGAUCCUGUUUGUGCGUCCAUUUCCAGCUCGAAAAUAAAUGUUUAAACAUCAAAAUAUCACUUAAUACCUCAAUUUCUAAAUACCUGAAGUACAAAGAACCACCACAAAAACUAUCAUUCUGCAUCACAAAAAUUUGAGCUCUAUAAUCUAUAUUAUGGAAAAUGGUAAAAAAUAACACAACAUAUUAACCAACACAUGGUUUUUUUUAGUAAUGUCCAAAAUAUGCAUGGUAUUCUAGCAAGUUGCAAAUUAUCUCAAAAUACUGCAAAUAGAAACAAAUACUUACCUGCCGUACGGCAACUAGAUACUUAAUACCCAAUAGGCUUCCAUGACGAACUUCCCAUUCUGGUCUACACUGAACAAAUCAAAAUAUCAGAAGCAUAAAAACCACACCACCAAUAAUAACACCCAAGUGGAACCAAUGUACAGCACUAAAAGCAUUGCAAUGCCAUAGCUGACAUUUACCUGCAUCUUCAGCAAGAUGUUCAAUGUUUCAUGAACUAAACUGGGAUGCAUGUAUUUGAACACAACACCCAAUGCUUGAGCACAGGUUUCACGUACUGGAGCAACUACCUGAUCAGAGACAUAAUCUCCAAAACUGCACCCAUAAAUAAACAAAAAACAUAUAUUUUAUCAUUUGAAGAUGCAUGGAGUUUCGUACUAACAGCCACAUAAUUUAGAACUAAGCAAAUUAAUAAAUUACCAUACCUACUUUUUUUUUUCUUUUUUUUUAAUUCUUUUGGGAAAAAGGGCAGACUUGACUAAAAGGAAAAAAGCCAUACCGGUCUAGUGACAAGACACACAAGAAACGAAUUGCACAAUCUUGAAGGAAUUCGCAAUUUUUAAGCCAUGAAUGCCUAGCCAGUUUAACCAAGUUCAUCAUAUCACUAUUUUCAGAGAGCCUCUUCAGCACAUCCAUUUUCUGAAAGGACCCCUUAUUGUGAGACUGGCCCUUUAACUCAGUUGUCUGAGCUAGUUGCUCACAUGGGUCCACCUUAACAGAGCUGAAAUGAAGUUGACCAUUAACCUGCGCAGAAGGCGACUUACAACCACUGUCUUCUACCUGUAUACUGACAUCAAAAUCCCCACUCUUGCUGGAAGAGACCAUGGUAUCCACAAAUGGAGAUGUAACACCUUCAAACUUCAGCUUUUUCAGUUCUGGUUCAGAUUCAUCAAUGGGAACUUGCAUAUUCAAAUCAAUCUCUCUGUCUCUCUUCAUUGUAGAUGCUGUGCAUUUAUUUUCUAACUCCCCAAUCAUUGCACCCUCCAGGCUCAAAUCAGAAAUAAAUGCUCCAGCAGAAGCACCUUGAUGGGUUAAAAUUUCUCUCAAAGCCAUCACACUACCAUGGCGUACUUCCCAAACUUGGAAAAACAAAAAAUUACAAACAAGAUUGUAAGAUUAAAUACCAUUUAAAAGCAUAUUAUCAAAAUAUAUGUAUAUAUGGAUACAUAUAUACACAUAGAUAGAACAGGGCAGGCACUUAAAGGAUACACCAAGAAGGCAGCCUAUGCCCUGCUAGAAAUAAAAAUAACAGAAGCCAACCUUGAUCAAACAUAUCUAGGAUUAGUUGCUCAGCGAAGCUUUGAAAAGGCCACCGCCCCUCUCCAUCAUGUUCAAUUUUUUCUUCAUGAUUAUCGAAGUCCAAAAUUUCCUGCAUAGCUAAUAAACAUUAAAUGCAGAAACUUAUUCCCCCACAAAGGACGAAACUUGUGAGAAAAAAGUAACCAAAUUAAUUCUGCAAUAGAACAAUGGUUAGGAAAUUUACACCUGAAUAUCAUAAGAUGUGAAACCUUUUAAACAAUAGCAAAUGCGAAAAUGAAUAAUAGCAUGUAGAGAUCAGCCUGUAAAAGUCUAGUGAAACCUAGUACCAAAUCUCAAGCAAACCAGUGCAUCAAUAUCCUAGCUAGGCUAGUAGAAGACUAAACCUUCAAAUUGUAAACUUUUGAGCCAUCCUAAGUUCAUAGGCUUACCCUUGCUUUGCAAAGAGGCUGUUUCCAUGACGAUAACUAAUUAUAUUUCUUUCUUUCUUCACCCUUAUAAUCAUCCCCUUCAUAAUCCAAUCUCCCCUUAACAAGUAAGGCUUAGUCAUAAAUCAAAAACUUAAAUGAUAAUUCAAGAAACCUUAUCAUGAAAAUUGCAUGCAAAAUUUAUCCAACAAAUACAGUGUGUUCUUAGGAUUUUGGUUCAUCAAAGUUAGUGUCCUAUUUUGUGUGGGAUUGUAUUAUGGAAAUUCAAGGUAACUUCUCCUAAAAGGACUAGGACGGGAUCAAAGUUUCCUUGUACAAUUAGAUUGGGAAUAGUAGACGAUAAUUUGGCAAAGGAAAGGAAGUGUGCUUUCCUAUUAGGCUAUUUCAUAUAGAAUAGGAGACUUAAUCAGAAAAUAGGCGUGUAAACCACACCCUAUACUUAUAAAUAGGGUGCGGCAAGGCUAGGGAAACAGAGAGAAAAGCCAGAGACAGCUGAGAGGGACAAAGAGGGAUUAGUUCUAGAGUUUUUCAAAAGUACUGUAACUCUAUUAUUAAUCAAAGAGGCCGUGAUUUCUACUCUAUUAUUAAUCAAAGAGGCUGUGAUUUCUCUACCCAGGGAAAUCACAACUGGAAGGAAAAAUCCAGAAGAGUGUCAGAAUUAUACCACGUGUCCCUCAAUUGCCUACACUUGAAGUUUACUCCAUGAGCUUUUUUAAAUGACACUCCUUGAAAAUAUAUAUUACUCAACACAACAAUAUAAAAAAUACAAUAACAGAGAUACAUCAAACAGCAAGAUCCAGAAGAGAGUCAGAAUUAUAACACGCGUCCCUCAAUUGCCUACACUUGAAGUUUACUCCAUGAGCGUUUUUUAAGGACACUCCUUGAAAAUAUAUAUUACUCAACACAACAAUAUAAAAAAUACAAUAACAGAGAUACAUCAAGAGCUUCAUAUUUUAUUACAACCAAUUAAGAAGUAUUUGUAUGAAAUAGCAUACAACAUCAAAUCAGCUAGCACAAAAAGAAAAAAAAAUGAUCAGUAGGCAACCUAGUACCUUGUUAGUCCCAAAUGAGUCAGGACAUGCCCCCUUUGGUGGUAUAUUUUGAGCACAUGGAACCUCCAUAUCCCCAUCAUCAGACCAACCUUUUGACUGGUCUUUCGAAGUGAUUUUUGCUUUUCGUUUUAAAAGAUUCAAUUCCCUUGGACUUGGCCUUUCUGAUACGACACUAGGAACCAUAUUUGCAACUAAUUGCUGAAUAUUAUGUGAUGUAGAAACUCUUGGAUAUGUCCCGUUCCCAUGCGAGUUGUGUGAAAUAAGGUCUUCAUCUUUUAUCAUAUCAUUCACAUCCAUGAACUGCUCACAUAUAUCCAAACCUGUAUAAUAAACAGUGAGAUUUCUAUUAGAUCCAAGAGAUUGAAUUGCAAGUUAGCACACCAUAAUUAAUAACAAAAUGUUCGCAAUGACUACAUUAUGAAUAUAAUAAAACACCACUAACUACAUAUUCUGGUAUUUCACAAUGGCCUUCCCCCCUUCAUACAGCACUGUGUGGAUUAGCAAAACUGUGCGUGAUCUAACAUAUCAAGACUUUUGGCUUCAUUGUUGCCAUCUGAGUCAGUACGAUAUAGAGAAGAAAGCCAAGGUUUGUAAGUUGGGUUAUAUCCAGAGAUUGUUUGUUCUUUAUAUUAGAUAAGCAUAAAUUACCAGGAAAUGGGAAGAAGCAAGCCAAGGUUUUAUGGUAUCAGUGAUUUUUUGGGCAACAUCAAUGGAAAGAAAUAGGCUGAUCUGUGGGGAUCUCACAGGCAGCAUGAAUAAGGAGUUGUGGGAUAAAGGCCAUAAUGGUCAUCAUUAUGGGCUUCGGUUUCCUGAGUUUAGAGAUUGUUCUUUUCCGGAUAUUUGCCUUAACUGAAAAGCUGCUAUUAGUUAGUUUUAUGGAGUUCCAAAGACGUGUUGAGUUUAGGAUGAUUAUGCUCACGUUUCUGCUUUGUUUUACCUUGUGGACAUCCAGUCUGCUCUUGUAAGUUUAUUGUUUAAGCAUUAAGAUUUUGUCUCUUUUCAGAAGAGGGAAAAACAGGGACUGGACAGCUGUUGUAUGCUAGCUGUAUAGUGUAUAUUGGGGUGAGAGCGAGUAGGCUUGCAAUGUAUCAGCUUUGCUCAUGCGGUGACUUGGGUCAUAUGGAUGGAGAUAAACAGAAGGAUGUUGAAGAUUUUCUUGAGUUGGUUUCAUGGAGCUCUGAGACGGGAUUCUGUUUCUGGCUAUUCUUUGAACUAUUUUCCUCAGAGUUCAUGGGAAUUUCACUUUCUUUGCUUAGGCUAGAAUGGAAGGUGGCUGUCCUAUAAUGGCUUUUAGGUCUUUUCCCAGCUGUUUGUGUUGGGUGUUUUAUUUUUUUCUGUGAGGUUCAGAGUUAGUCCUCUUGACCCACCUCUUCAUUGUUUUUCUUCUCUCUUAAUACCCUUAUCACAUGUCAGCGAAAAAAUAAAACUCCAGAUUUUAGCCCGAGAUCAAAAAGAAAACACAUUAAGGAAAAAAUUUCCACAUUAGAAACCAUAAUCAGGUACAUGGUCAUUGGCUUGCAGGUGGGAUUGGAUGGUAGUUCCGAUGGGUGGAUGGGUGGAUGGGUGGGUAGGUGAUAUUUGGAUGGUGGUGUGUUUUUGCUAAGACAGAGAAAGGUAGGCCCCACUAUGCCAUGUGCCAGCCAACAAAAGGCCACAUCAAGGCAAAACUCAGCAAUAAGGAAUAAGAAUCAUCAGAUCUGCAGUUCAGAUACCUGUCUCACUGAUAGCUAAACUUAUUCUCAAGUGGACAGCGUCUAGAUUUUGUCUUUUUCCAUACAGUCACUACAGAACAUAAUGGUUCAAAGAGCCAAUCAUCUUAUCAGUACUAGUAGAUUGAAUUGAACUUUAAAUAUUAACCAUUACCCUCUCCCCCAACAAUCAUACACUCUCCAUGCUACAAAGACACCAACCUAAAGGGGAUUUAUCUGUUUUUCCUUUUUGGCCCGGGUAUACUAUCAGUGCAAUAAAAUAAACCAUUACUAACCUAAACGACAUUGAAGUGUUUGUUUCUGUCGAGCCAAUUUCUCCCUUGGGUUCUUCAUAUGAUCAUUUGCAACAUCAUACUCCUGUUCCAAAAAUGCAAGCAUCCAUUAUAAAGAAGAAAUGAAGACUCAAACAAAGCAUAUUUUUUUGAGUCAGAAAACAAGCAUGAUCAAAAGCACACAAAAGAUAUUAACCAAAUUAGGCCAUCCUCUUGCACAAACAAACAUCUGCAAUUCAAAAGGCAGGAUCCACAAUUCUUUUUAUCUUUUAUAAGAAGCAAAGAUAUUAUUUAAAAUCAGAAAAGUGAUCCAUUCAAGAAUUAUUAAAAUGCGUCAGCCUUUUUAUAUAUCAUUUAAUUAAGUAAUGAGGCAACUUAUCUAUUCAUUUUAUGAAGCCAUAGGUCAUCUAAGAAUAGCACAAAUCAAUGAGCAACAUAACUCCUUUUAGAAAUUUAGAUAUGAAUAAUCAUUAAAAUAAAUUAAAUUAAAUUGAACAAAAGUAAAAAUAAAAUAUGGAGAGCACUAUAACUCCAUCUCUGAUCUCUUUAUUUUAUUUAAUAUAUCUUUAGUCUACAAUGUGCCACAGAUACAUAAAUAAAUAGUUUAAAAUGGCUAGACUGGCCUAUUAAUGUUUCCCACGAUUAUCUUGUUGUAAAUAUGAACAAACAUUAACACACACAUAAAUAAUAGAAUUGCACCUUGACAUGGACAAUUUGAAGAAACUGCCUAUUUAAAUUACAUAAUCAAACAGUGAAAUUUAGACAUCUUCCCUCUUUGACAUAAGUGCAAUUAUGUCAACAAACAUACAAUAGACACUGCAUUACCUGUCCCCCAGAUGCAAACAGAGCACCAAACUCCAAAACCUUUCUGAGAUCGAAGCUGUUAAGAAAAUUCAAAGUUAGAUAAACAGCCAUGCCUCCAAGAAGACUCGUGUAUUCACAGGCACAAAUCAAGAGCCAACCAAACAGGAGCACUACAAGUGUAUACAAUAAUGUCGCACCUUCUAAAUGACGUGCCAGCAAUGUUUGAAUCAAAAAUAGGGAAAGCAACCAUAUCUUCAACAGCACCAGAUAUCCCAGCAUCAGACAUCUUCGAUUUAAUACAAGUAAAGAGUUCAAUCAAAGAGGUGUGCUUCACAUUCUCAGCAAUAGCCCCAACAGCAUGAGCGGCAGCAACCCUUGUAUCCCAGUUUUUGCUAUGAAGAUAUUGUGAAACCUAAUCUCGCAAGUUACAUAAGUUAAAGACAGAUUUUUUCACAAAAAAAGAAAUCAAUAAAUUCAAAAUGGAAUAUGUAAGAAACAAAAAUCUAAGCUAUACGUCAAACAAACCAACUAUAGGCUAGAGCAUCUAUCAACUGUUGUGAUUUACGACUCAAACUUAGGAUGAUGCAGAAAUUAGAUUUGUGUUACCUAUUUCGUUUUGUUAAUUACCUAUUUGAUUAGAAUUUGGAUUUACUUCGAAUUAGGAUUAUUCUCAUUGUAACCUAAGACCUAUGCACUAUAAAAAGGACCUUAGAGUUAGUUUAUUUUGUGUGCCUUACCAUGAGCGUAGGGAAUUUUCUCUCAUUGGGUUUUGGGUGGAGGUUACCGUUGGGAGUCAUGAGUGUGUGGCAAAUUCUUGGCUCAUUCAUUUGGCAAUUUGGUGAGAAUCAGUUUGUGAGUUUGAGAGUUAGAGAACAAUUUGGGAGAAUCUCCUCCGUUUGAUUGCUUUGGGCUCUCUAUUUGUUUGGUUUAGGGUUUGUAUUUUGUGGGAUUUGGUUGUGAGAAUUUAAACACUCUUUUAUAAUCUCCGUUUGUUUAGUGAAAUUCCUCGCUAUGCUUCGCCUGUGGAAAUAGGACGCCGAACCACGUUAAUCUCUUGUGUUCUUAUUUUGAGAUUGUUUGUUUCUUCGCUUUUGCCUACGACGUCGAUAUUUGGUACUUUGUUUGAAUUCGCUUUCGCUUGCACAUAAAAGUACAACAUCAACAAAAAACAAAACAAAGAGAAAAUAAUGCAACAGUUAGUGGGUAAGGGUUUCAUAUAUUUGUUCUUUCUUUUGAGAAGGGAAACGGUUUCAUAUAUUUUUUCUUUCUUCUGAGAGGAAACGCAAAAAUCAUUGGCAGUCAGUUUCAACUCGUAGUUGAUUAACCCUGUUUUUUUAGUGUUUCAUGCAUUUGUAACCCUUAAUUAAAGAUGGAAGGACAACAUGUAGAUGCGUUAUGUUAUUGUAAAAGAAAAUCAGAAUGGUUGGGACAGGUUUUGAGGUUUCGUGGUAUUUCGUAGUGCAGUUUGGCAUGCCUUUGGGUUAGCUGUCUUUUAAGAAAUGUUUAUUUUUUAUUUUGGAUUCCUGACAAUAGAAAUGUUACUGUUGAAGUUCAUUCUUAAUAUAAGGCUCUUGUUUAAGUACAACAACAACAACAACAACAACAAAGCCUUUUCCCACUAAGUGGGGUCGGCUAUAUGAAUCCUAGAACGCCAUUGCGCUCGGUUUUGUGUCAUGUCCUCCGUUAGAUCCAAGUACUCUAAGUCUUUUCUUAGAGUCUCUUCCAAAGUUUUCCUAGGUCUUCCUCUACCCCUUCGGCCCUGAACCUCUGUCCCGUAGUCACAUCUUCGAACCGGAGCGUCAGUCGGCCUUCUUUGCACAUGUCCAAAUCACCAGAGCCGAUUUUCUCUCAUCUUUCCUACAAUUUCGGCUACUCCUACUUUACCUCGGAUAUCCUCAUUCCCAAUCUUAUCCUUUCUCGUGUGCCCACACAUCCCAUGAAGCAUCCUCAUCUCCGCUACACCCAUUUUGUGUACGUGUUGAUGCUUCACCACCCAACAUUCUCUGCCAUACACCAUCGCUGGCCUUAUUGUCGUCCUAUAAAAUUUUCCCUUGAGCUUCAGUGGCCUACGACGGUCACACAACACGCCGGAUGCACUCUUUCCAUCCAGCUCGUAUUCUAUGGUUGAGAUCUCCAUCUAAUUCUCCGUUCUCUUGCAAGAUAGAUCCUAGGUAACGAAAACGGUCGCUUUUUGUGAUCUUCGCUAGAUUGCUCCGGUCAUUAGUGUGGAUAAGUAUAUAAAUGGAUAGAGAUAGGAAAGCAAACACAAGAUGUACGUGGUUCACCCAGAUUGGCUACGUCCACGGAAUAGAAGAGUUCUCAUUAAUUGUGAAGGGUUUACACAAGUACAUAGGUUCAAGCUCUCCUUUAGUGAGUACGAGUGAAUGACCUCGUAAUCACGAAACUUCUAAGUAUCGGAGUGUGGUGUCGUCUUGACUUGCCUUAUCUGUCUCAUAGGUAGAUGUGGCAUCUUCUCUGGAAGUACUCUUCCUCCAUCCAGGGGUGGUAUCUUUAACUGGUGGAGAUGCACAAGGUAAUGUAUCAAUUUCACUUGAAGCUUACUUGUAGUUUCAGGCUUGGUCAAGCGCGAUACAAACCAUGUAGUAGGAGUCCCCCAAGUCGCCGAGCUAGGGGGUCUGCUGAAAGAGGUGACAGACAAGGUAAGCAAUCAGAGCUCCGACUGAUUGUUCACCUUCUCCCCAUCUUGCAGCAGCAUGAAGGAUAAAGAGAAGAAAAAAAUGAGAAGAGAUGAUAUGAGAUACUUUUGCUUUUGAAGAAGUAACUUUCCACAGGCUUAUUCUUGAACUGAGCUGGAGGGUUUUCUGGUUUCCUCCAGAGUAUAAGGCCGACUGAAGAAUUUGAGGGUCAAAACAAGUCCAUCAAAUCUAGAGUACGUUCCACCCUGCUGAUAUGGGAUACUUUUGCUUUUGACAGAGUAAUGGAUGUAUCGGCACGUGUGCUGUUACGCUUGUCUCCACAUGCUUCCUUGUAUAUCCUUCGCACUUGCCCUAUCUGUUCCUCAAGCAGAUGCGGAAUCUUCCCUGGAAACAUAAGAUGUUGAAGAUGAGUACUCGAGAGCAGCAAUGCCAGGUAAGUAAUCAGGUAAGGGGUUCCAGGUAGUCAGUUCCUGGCUGGAAGCUUGAUUCCAAGUGCUGACUGAUUGCUCUCUUUCUCCUUGUCUUGCAGGUAAAAAACAAGGCCAAAAGAAAAACAGGGAAAAAGCAUGAUAUGGGAUACUCUUGCUUUUAACCCUGAUGAUAUGAGAUAUUCUUGCUCUAGUAUAGCUUGUUUGCAGAGGUAUUAUCGGGGGGAAAGAAAGCUGAAUAUUUCGAAAGGCUUUGUUGGGAGUGCCCUCUCAGAUAUGAUGAAGGGUUGAGCAUUUUUGCAGGUCUGCCUGUCCGUUGGGGAUGGAGGUCGACAUAUAUAGGAGUCUCCCUAACAACAAGUAGUAAUGCUAUUCCUUUACCCUGCUUGGUCAUAGCACGGUAGUGGGAGCUGCCAGUUUCACAUGUUUUAACUCUGUCAGAGCACUUUGAAAAAGUGGUCUGUGGUAUCUGGCUCUCGAGAUUCGGAGAACAAUGCCUCUUCGAUUUUUGAGAAAGCAAUCAUGCUGGGGGUCUGACUCUCGAGAUUCGGAGAGCAGUGUCUCUUCGAUUUUUGAGGAAGUAAUCAUGUUGGGAGUCUGGCUCUCGAGAUUCGGAGGGCGGUGCCUCUUCGAUUUUGGAGCAAGCAAUCUUGUUAGGAGUGUUGUCUCGAAUGUGAGUAAAGGUUGGACAUGUUUGCUAGUCUAGUCUACCUUGCCACGAAGCACAAAGGUUGACACACAGGGACUUUCCAAUUAUCCAGCAAUGGUACUGUUCCUUUACCCUCUCUCUUCGAUUUUGAGAAAGUAGUCAUGUUGGGAGUCUGGCUCUCGAGAUUCGGAGGACGGUGCCUCUUCGAUUUUGGAGCAAGCAAUCUUGUUGGGACUGUUUUCUCGAAUGUGAGUAAAGGUUGGGCAUGUUUUGCUAGUCUACCUUGCCACGAAGCACAGAGGUUGACACACAGGGACUUUCCAAUUAUCCAGCAGUGGUACUGUUCCUUUACCCUUGUGGGUAAUAAUAUGGUAGCUAGACCUUCAAAAUUUAUGUGUCUAAACUUUGUUAGUGCUGUUUCUUUGCUAUUCUUUUACCUUUUUUUGGUCAGAGCGAUGUAGUGGGAGCUGCAAGCUUCACGUGCUCAACUUUGGCAGAGAACUUUGGCAAAGUGAUCUGUGGUACCCAUGAGUUAUUGUUGCGUGUGGGAAGUGGGUGAUUGAACAGUAAGAUUCAUGUGCUUUCUACUUCACCAGAAGUCUUCGACAGAAUGCCCAUAAUUUCUGCAAAGCUGAGUGUGCGUGUGACAGGUGCUGACAAGGCUAGAAAAGUAGGUGCCUCUUCGAUUUCUGAGAUCGGCCCUCGUGGUCUCUGAGCAGCCCAGCUUUUGAGAAAGCGAACGUCUCUUUCGAUUGAUUCGGAGAACGGUGCCUCACCGAUUUUUGAGAAAGCAAUCAUGCUGGGGGUCUGGCUCUCGAGAUUCGGGGAGCAGUGUCUCUUCGAUUUUUGAGAAAGUAAUCAUGUUGGGAGAGUGGCUCUCGAGAUUCGGAGGGCGGUGCCUCUUCGAUUUUGGAGCAAGCAAUCUUGUUGGGAGUGUUUUCUCGAAUGUGAGUAAAGGUUGGGCAUGUUUGCUAGUCUACCUUGCCACGAAGCACAGAGGUUGACACACAGAGACUUUCCAAUUAUCCAGCAAUGGUACUGUUCCUUUACCCUCUCUUCGAUUUUUAAGAAAGUAGUCAUGUUGGGAGUCUGGCUCUUUAGAUUCGGAGGACGGUGCCUCUUCGAUUUUGGAGCA